rnacentral:lncRNA from 1 species
AACUCGCUAUCCUUCUGCAUUGGUUUUAACAGCCUCGAGUUAGCACAAUGCAAAUCUUGAAAGUAGAGUUACAGCAAGAGAUGACUCAGGUAUAUGCUAAAACCAUAUAUACAGAGAAAAAAAUUAAGCUUUCAACUGUUUAAAGAAUCGAACUCAGUACCCCAAAAUACAAAUUCGUUUUCUGUACUCAUUAAUAAGGAAAGGAACUUACAUCAGGUGCCCAUUGGACCGAGUUUAUAUCCAUUUCAUGUGCUUUCUCCUUCUUAAGCAAAAGUUUGUAUGCAGGUUCAACAACCUGUCACAAUGAUGAUCAGCAUUUCAGUUUGGCUGCAGCACAAGGUGUAUUGCACCUUAUAAAAUCAUAGAAUACACACGUGUUGUGCUACAAAAGCCUACAAUGGUUACAGAACGAAUGCAAAGAAGUAAACCAGACAAGAUAUUUCAACAUGAUCAUAAAAGAG